rnacentral:tRNA from 1 species
GCCGCCAUGGUGAAAAAUAGGUAUACACGCUGCUCUUAGGAAGCAGUGCUAGAGCAUCUCGGUUCGAGUCCGAGUGGCGGCA